GCCAGCAGUGCCCCUCCCUUGCUCAGCACCGCUCGGCCGAACUUGUAAAGCGGGGGUCGUCGGUUCGAACCCGACAGGGGGCU
rnacentral:tRNA from 1 species